UAGUAAUACUUCCAAGGGUUUUUAACUCCAGAAAAAAUCCUAGACUUUAAUGGCUCAGACAUGUGUCAGCAAGAUUUCUGCUUACAUUCAAAGCUUCCUGCAUUUUCAGGACAUUUCGCACAUAUCUGUGUUUGGGACACUGAAGAAAAAGACCCACCCCUAUUGAAGGCAUCUUUGCCUUUGCAUCGAUGAGUAUACAUUAUAGCAUUUUUUUUUUUUUUUUUUUAAUUGAAGGGGACAAAUGCAUGUGUCCGAAUAUUUAGGAAUCUUUGCCUAUGAUUAUUAAAGUGGUUCUUUUUUAUUGAAAUGUGGAACCAACGUCAGUAACAAAUUAGUGACACUGAUCAGUGUUUAGAAAGCCAACCUGAGACUGAAUCAAUCUGGCACUGCUGCACCAAUGUGAAGAAACAUUGUUCGCUUAGACUGAAAAUACUGAGAUUCUGCUGUCAUCUUUGAUCUAAAAAAUGUACUCUGUCCAGAUGCAAGCAGAGAGUUUAGAUGGGACCAUUUUUUUGCUGUGUAUUUUAUAUCUAAGUUGAUGCAGUGUGGAAAUCAUUUUUUACUGUAAAUCUACUCAUGGUUAAGUCUGGUGUCUUUUCAAAGGUUUCAUUAUAGAGCACAGCUGUUUCUCUUUAACUAUCAUAUUGAACUUCAGUCAUUCAGUUUCUCACAAUGACACCACAGUCUGAGUGUCCUCUAAUCCAUGUAAGUCAGAGAAUACAAGCAGUAUAUGUGAAAUAUUGCCUUCUGCUGCUGUGACAGUUUGCUCCUUACAAUAAUGCAUAGAAUUCAUCAUAUUCAUUGUGUGUGUGGGCUGUGUGUGUCGUGUGUGCCUGCAGCCUACAGGUAAUGAUCCUGAGUGGGACUCCAGCAGCAGGCAGUGAUAUCACACUCUAAGAUGAGUGUCUGGAAAAAAGAAACCCACUGAUGUCUUUGGGGCACCGAGGCUGAAGGGGGACAGGACGGUUUACAGCAGCAGUCAGUGACUCAGGCUUUCAGUCUCCUCCCCUUCCCGGAGACACACCAUGCACCCACCCACCCCAUUAACUGGUGGGUGUCUCCAGGUACGUAAUACUGUCUGUGUACAGAAUACAUAAUGAGUCACCGUCCCCUGAGCAGAGGUACAGUAGAGUAUAAAUAGCCAAACCUUUCAGUGAGCCUGAUUUAUAUUCAAGUCUGUUAGUGACAAAGACACUGGAGCGAGCACAAAGUAAUUUUUUUUAUAGCAAAUAUAAAUCUUAAAGUAAAGACUGAGAGCAUGCAAUGAUAUGUUUAUACACCCAGAGCAAGUAUGAAAUAGAGUAUUUGUAUCAGAACAAACCGCCUUUCGAUUUGAGUGAGCUGCAGGGCUUUAGGUAGAUUGUAUCCAGUGGUGCAAUAAAAGUGCCUAUACCAAAAUAUCAAAUACUUCAAGUAUUUUACAAGUUAAAGCCGUGCAAUUAAAAUGUUACAGAUAUAACUAUAAUUGAGAAAAUGUACUAAAACCAAUUCAGAAAAAACGUUUUGAUGACAUUAUGGACGACAUACUAAACUAUGACAUUUUUUUUCCACAUUUAGGACGACAUACUAAACUGUUAUUUUUUUUUCGAAGUUAUUUUUGGGCCCUUUUGUUGGUUUUAUUCAAUGUGUAAGUAGAGAGGAAGACAGAAGCAGGGAAGACCUGCAGUAAAGGGCCAUGAGCUGGAAUCGAACCUGCGUCUCUGACACAGUCCUAUUUAGGAGUGGCCCUCUCAACUGGUUGGCUACCUGGGCACCUUUUUUCCACUUGUUGGACGACAUGCUAAACUAUGACUGUUUUUAUACAAUUUGGACGACCUACUAAACUAUGACGUUUUUGUGAUAUUUUGGAUGAUAUACUAAACUAUGACGUUUUAGUGAUAUUUUCAACGACAUACUAAACUAUGAUGUCUUUUUCCACAUUUAGGACGACAUACUAAACGGUCCGUGUAUUUAUCUGGCAGUUGGAUUUUCCGUUCUGAAACGGGUAUUGAAAAACAAAAAAGGAGUGGUUAUUUGAUUUUCGUUUUAAAAUACAAAAAUUAAAAUUGAAAUACAAGGCGUUUUUCCUUUUCAUGAUCAAAAAGGGAUGUACGAAAUUUUAAAAAUGCGCUGAUUUUCAUUUUAGAUUUAGAAUAACAAAAAAGUAAAAUCAGAAAGAGACAAACGAAAAAAGGUCCGUUUUUUCAUUUUCUAAGACCGGAAGUGGUCAUCAGCAAGUGUGGAGCCAAACAGAGUACGGUGCAUAGACUAUAUAGAUGUAUAUUUUUCCGUUAGUUUUCAUGGUCAAACUGAGAGAUUAGGUGGCCGAUCUUAAAAUAAAUCAAUAUUGAAUUUUUUAUAGAGCGUUAAAGUUUUGCGAAGCCAGGGGGCGGGGCUACUUGAUUGACAGUCUGGUCUGGAAUGAUUGACAGGUCCUACGGAGGAGGCAGCAGAGACUCUGCUUUUCUCCUUUGGAUUAAUUCUGAUAUAAUAACUGUUGGUUUAUUAAUCGUUGGAGCAGCAGAACAUUUUCCACAGACAGUUUUCCUGCCCGUUGGCUUGUUUUAACCAGUUUUCUGCCUUGAGCUGAUGCUACCAGCAGACACUUAAAGGACUCUGAUAGUUCGGUAAGUUAAUGUUUAUUUUCGUAUCGGUGCCGCUUUUAAUGCACUUUAUAUGCAGCUUUAGUGUCAGAUGUAAUGUGUGCCAUGCACUCCAGAUGUUGGUGGAGUUUGUUUCAGUGUGUGUUGACCAGAGAAGAAAGUUAGCAUCCAGUAAAUAUUAGUUUUAAUGUUAGCGAUGCUAACCGAGCUAGCUGCUCAAUUGUAGUCUGAUUAAAGCUAACGUAACAUUAAGCUAACCUAGCAUUAAGCUAACGAUGUUUGUGUUGAGUUUCAUGUAAACAGCUGAAGUGUGUUGUGUUAUUGUAAUGUGGUACAUUUAGUUAAUAAAACUGUUCAUGAAGACGCUGGUUCACAUUAAUGUAACGUUUAGAAAACCUAAAUGUGAUUAAAACAGUAAGGUUAAGGUUCUGUGUUGUCAGUAGUCCUGAAUAUCUGCCGAGUCUCUGAAGUUAAACUGGAGAAAACAGUAAAUCUACUCUCUAGUCGUUAACGUGGUUUAAUGACUGGUUCACGUUGUAGUACAUCCUAGUGCAGAUUAGAAAAAUGACCUCCCAUAAUAUGUCCAAAGUAAUGAUGAACACUACAGUUAUUAUAUUUAAAUUACAGCACAGAUAAGCUGAAGAAUAAAAUCCUCUCCCCUAAAGCUAAAGUGACUACAGGCUUUUCUGUCUUUCGCUGCUUGGAAAACUAUAUAUGACAGAGGAAAUCUAUCCAGGGAUGCUUUAAAAUGAACCUCUGCUGUUGAUGCUGAUACUGUGACAUCUGUCUUCAUCUCAGGUGUCUCAUGUUCACUGUGAGAAUCUUCUGAGUGAAGCCAGCAGAAGGAAAACCUCAUCUGGUUGUGAAGAAGGAGACUGAAUGGACGACAUCCUCAUUCAGUAAUUCAGUCCUUGGGCUGAUUGGACCAACAGACACUGAAGGACUCCGACAGCUGGUCCCUCUCUAUCUCCCCACACAUCCACCAACCACUGGAACACAUCUCCAAAGUUCUGCCGGUCCAGCUCAGCUUCCCCUCAGAAGAAGUGCCGCCACCUGAUGAAGGAGUCUUUUGAGAGGCAGCUGGCAUCGUGAUUGGACUGUACUUUGGUCUGUUCCAAUCCAGCUUCAGCUCCAGAGACGGCAGGCGGGACGAGUCAACGGAGGCCGGAUGGACGAAGGCAUGCAGCUGAGUACAAUCCAGAAAACAACAAUUAACAAGUCAAAGGAAAGAGACAUACAUUGUAGAAUUGUAGUAAUUGUGGGCUGACUGAUUUACUGAUUAUCAGUAUUUUAUUUUUUACUGAUUUACGGUAAUAAAUACAUUUAAAAAUGGCGCUACUUUUGCUCUGAACCUUUAUCUACCUGUGGUCGCUCUGUCUUCUGGAGUGAUUUGAUUGGUUAUACGUCACAAAUAAAACUUUAACUUAACAUCUGUAAACAACACAAAAAUGUAUUAAAGUUUUCUGUUAGAGUUUGUGUUCUUCUAAGUUUAACUCCAAGAUUUUAAAUACUUUUAUUCACUGCAAAUGAUUAUCUACUCCAAAUGUCUCACUAAUAAUCAUUAUCAGCCUUAAAAACCCACAAAUCACCCCUCUAUACUGGACCACACUUAGUACAGUCCGGUUCCCCCUUCUAUAAAUCUGCUUGGAAUCUUCCACUUCCUGUUUGUCAAAGUGGCCUUCUACCUGGACAGGUUUUGUUGGAGCUCAUGCAACAAACAUUUUGGGUAACUGCACUUUAAUAUGGAUGGAUGACACUGAAUUAGAGUCUGUUUUAAUGAGACUGAGUUAAGAUGUGUAGCUCUGUCAUUAAAUAGUCAAUUAUUUCUCAGAAUUCACAGAGAAAAGUCUGAAAUGUUUGCUAGGUUAGCGUCCCACAUGUUCUUUGGCUCAGCUAAAGCUAACUCUCUCCAACUUCUGGAUCUCUUGAGUUGCUUGUUGUUAAAAUAUCUUGCUAUAGGUGCUGAAGCUCAGAAAGUCUGAGAUGUUUGUUCAAAAUAAGCUCAUUCUCAAGUCUUAUUUGAACUGUCCUCUUUUGUUUGAACUUUCCCUAAACUUAGGAGUUAAUGACAGAGCAGCACAUCCAGACUCAGUCUCAUUUAUGUAGAGAUUAAACUUCAGUGUCAUUCAUUGAUGUUAAAGUGCAGUUUUUCAAAUGUUUGUUGCACAUGCUCCUGACCAAACCAGUCCAGGUGGAAAACGAUGUGAAGAGAAAGCUCCAGAGGAUGAAUAUCACACAUUUACGUUGGAAAUAAAUUUCCUUUAAUCAGACAUUGUCAUGCAAAAGUUGGAUUUCCCUUUAAUGAUGUUCAAAUCUUUGUUGAGUGUUUUGUUGAUGUUGGUUUCUAAAUGUUUUUUGACACUCGGCCCCAAAGAUUAAAACCUUUUAUGGCUCACAAGCUGCAACAAUUCACACAUUAUCAACUAUCUUUCUGACUAAACUAAGAUAAAAAGUGAAAAACUGCCUGAUUCCUGCAUCAUGAAUGUAAAUCUUUUUGGUUUUUAUGACAGUAAACUGAAUAUAUUUGGGUUUGACAUUUUAUAAACCAAAACAAGAAAUGAAUUACUGGAGAAAACAAUCAACAGAUUAAUGGACAAAGAAAAUGUGUUUUCCAACAUAUAUGGCUGAAUUAGUCCAACAUUACAAAAUACAUACAAUGUUAAUUCAAUUUUAUUUAUAUAAUGCCAAUUACAGGUCAAAUUGUCUCAAGAUGCUUUAUUUUUAUAUUUUUUUGUCACAUUUAAAAUAUGACAAAGUAAGAAAUUUCAACCUCUUGACUAAUCCAAUUUAUUAUUUGGUUUUUAAGAGACUAAUCGACAAUUGAAAUAACUUUCUCCACUAAAACUAAGAAACAUGAGGUCAAAUAGAAGGAACAGUUUUAAAUACUGCAGUCCAUUGACGACAAGAAUAAAGUUUGUCAACAAAAAAUACAUCUGCUGGUGGAUUCCAUUAAAGUCCUAAUGAAUGAUAAUAAAGUGUGAUACUAAAGGUUUGUGGUGCUAAAAAUGUCAAAGUAAAGAUAUCAAGUUGAACAUCUGGAUGAAGGUUGAUAAAAGUUGACCUCCCUUCAUUUCUCUGGAGCCGACUCCAUGGAUUUUAUGGAUGGUGGUUAAAGACCUGCUCUUCUAGUGGUCUUACUUCGAGUCGCUGUAAAAAGUCACUCCAUACUGGCCGACUUCAACACCUCUUCAUGACAACUUGUUCUGCCUCCGACCUCGUGGAAACUCAAGAAACUCGGAAAAACCAGUCGAGACUCGAAGAA